UAAUUGGCUCUAAAGAGGAAGUCAAGAGAACUUAAUUAAAUGUGUAUUUUGGCUUUGAAGCACAUGUGAUAAUUUAAUAGCUUGUUUUUAUCUCUUUUCAAUUUCCAAGAGGAGCUGAAUCAUCAGAAUUAAUAAUAUCUGCAUCCUAGAACUUUUACAAGGUUCAAGUGAGAUUAUCUAUAAAUACCCACCAAGCAGUCAGCCUGUCAUAUUCCAAAAAGGUCUUUGCAUAUGUUACCUCACUGAAUUCUCAUGAAAAUUCUGUGAUACACAAUUUACAAUAUUUUUAUAGCAUAAGAUUGUUGUGAAGAUCAAGGUUGAUAAUCUACAUAUAAGCACCAAGCUCUCUGCAAGAAAUGUAAGUAAGCAUCAAGUGUUAGUGAUUAUCAUUAUCAUCAUUUUUACUAUUUGCAAAAACAUAUUGGAUAACUGAUCUAUGGUAUCAUUUUUAUUGUUUCCCACAAUAAUUUUCUUUUUUUUUCCAUUGUCCAUCCAACUUGUAUUUCCAAAAUUGAGAAUCAGAAUCCCGAUUCAGUGAUGAAAAGUUUUUUUGCUUAAAAUCCAUAUUACAUUUGAUUUUUUAAAUUUAUUUUUUAAUCAGGGGAAAAUUGCUUUACAAUGUUGUGUUGGUUUCUGCCCUACAAUAAUACAAAUCAGCCAUAAUUAUACAUACAUCACCUCCUUCUUGAGCCUCCUCAUCCUCCCUCAUCCCACCCCUCUAGGUCAUCACAGAAUGCCAAGCUGGGAUCCAUGUGUUAUAUAGCAACUUCUCACCAGCUGUCUAUUUUACAGAUGGUAGCAUGUAUAUGUCAAUUCUACUUUCUCCAUUUUUCCUACUGUCUCCUUCACCCACUGUGUUCACAAGUCCAUUCUCUAUAUCAGCGUCUACAUUUCUUCCCUGCAAGUAGGUUCAUUAAUACCAUUUUUAUAGAUUCCAUAUACAUGCAUUAACAUGUUGUAUUUGUUUUUCUCUUUCUGACUAACUUCAUUCUGUAUAACAGGCACUAGGUUCAUCUACCUCUCCAGAACUGACUCAAAUUCAGUAUUUUUUAAUUCCAUAAUAAUUUUCUUAAUAACAUUGCAAAUGAUUUUUCACCAUUACCGGUGAUACCAGUCAACGGAAUAUAAUAAUACAAACAGAAAUAACACCUUCUCCAUUACCCUUCAUUUCGUACUUUUUAAAUCAAUAUUAAUUACCUAAUUUUAUUCAACAUUUGCCACAUUUAGAAAUAUAUAUAAUAUUUCCAAAUUGCAUGUAUGCAGGCAAGUCGUGUACAGAAUCAAAUAGUGUAAUGAUACCAACAUUUAUGUUUCUCUGUCUUGUCAAAGCCAGUGCAUAAAGUUUGGCCUUGGUAGCUUCUGAAAACACAAGAUCAUGUGUGCUUUUCUCACUGACAUCAACUUUUGUCCAUUAGCUGGAGUAAUUUUCCAAGAGAGUGUUUGACCAUGGCUACAUCCUGAUCCUGUGACUUGCUGGAGACCUUGAAACAAAAUAGCAUUUUACCAAGUAGAAUUAAUCUUACAUAAUCCAUCUUUUUCAUUAAAUAACUCACCAUGAACCCCCACCUAAGUGAAAGUAAUUAACACCUUUUUUAAUUUCUAAAUUUUUCCAACUCUGAAUUUUAAUGCCCGCAGACUGAGUUAGUCUAUGUUAUAAAUUGAAAAUAUAUCUGUGGAUAUCUACUUCUGUUAAAUACCUAUUUUAUGCAAGAGCAAUUCAACUCUUUAUUCAAUUUAUUAAUCUUUGUCAAUAAUUGAGCCAAUAGUUCAAGGUUUUCAUUUACUGUGGCAUUACAAUAUCUUUGAGGAUCUGGCGUUUCAAAUCCCUCUUUGUUUAAAGAUUUCAUGAAAUAUUCCACACAUCAAUUUUAGAUACUAAUCUAAACAUUGGCUUUCCAUAUUUAUAAAAGUGUCACUUUUGGCUUUUGUUGAGAGUUUAGCUAAGUUAUUCCAUGAUAUGACUGACUUGGCAUCCAUUUUGUUCUACCAAAUGGCCUACAUAGAACCUAGUCCCUCAUGCAAGCACAUGCCCUAUAUAGCAGCUGGUAAAGUCGUAAGUAAAUGUAAGUUCCUGAUCCAACUUCCCUAAGAGUCCUUGUGAUCAGCAGUCACCCCUCUUAUGUACCGAUUAGACAAGACACCCAUGGGGCUUAUCAAAACUCCACCCUUUUGACUUGAACUGAUCAAUCUAGCCAUAACCUGGAAACUGCAAAGCGUUCCACCCAUGGACCCUAAUAAAGGCAUGUGCCCCACGUCCUGUCUCUCCCUCUGCCUUGACCUCCGCAUGUGACCCCUCGAGGAGUGCCAGGUAAUUCAUCCAGGACCUGUGAGUAAGAAACUGAUCAAUUUCAAUUUCUGUUGUGAUACGACAGUUUGCACUCCACAUAACAAUUAUUUAAUUUGACAAAUUCAUGACAGCCUUUUAUUCUGGGAUGAGUUAAAGGAAAUCCAAGAUCUUUCUGAGACACAGUUUUCUCCUUUCUAAUAUGAGAAAUUGGACAUUUUAAUUUGUAAAUGUGUCUAUCUAAGUAUGUGUGUGUUGUGUACUUUUAAAGGGGAUGUGUACACAAAUUUGAGGUAUGCUGUGAUAAUAUGAUGGCUUAUGUUUCUAAGUUUCUUUUAAUCUUCCAAAAGAACUUCCUCAUUGACACCUCAUGGCAAUCCUGUGAUGUAGAAUUAAUAAUAUUUUCUAAAUCAUAGGAUUGCUGUGAGGAUCAUGUGAGAUUAUACAUCAAUUAAUACUAACAGAAAUGAUCAUUAUUCUAAUUAUUUUUAUUUACUUUUAUUUAACUUUAUAUAUUGAAGUAAUUUUAUAUUCAAAAGGGAUUGUGAAAAUUGUAAAAAAAAAAUUCCUGUGUGUCCUUCAUUCAGGUUCCCUUUAUGGUAACAUCCUACAUAACCAUAAUACAUAUUAUCAAAAUUUGGAAAUUAACAUUAAUAGAAUACUAUUAAUUAGACUAUAGACUGUAUUCAGAUUUCAUUAGUUACUGCAUGCACUCAUUUCUCUCUCUCUGUGCAAGUUCUAUGAAAUGAUGUUACAUAUAUGGAUUGGUAUAACAACCACCAUGAUAAAGAUACUGUUCCAUCACCACAAAGGAACUCUAUCACACACAUCACUUUAUAGUCACACACUCCUCACUCACAACCAUCCCUAAACUCUGGGAACCUGUUUCCCAUUUCUAUAUAUAUUUUUUCAUUUAAAUAAUAUUACAUAAGUGAAAUCAUAAAUGUGUAAUAUUUUGAGGUUCUAUUUUUUUUACCUAUGUAAUAAUCUUUUUUUUUUUUUU
ensembl:lncRNA